rnacentral:rRNA from 1 species
CCUACGGGAGGCAGCAGUGAGGAAUAUUGGUCAAUGGCCGUAAGGCUGAACCAGCCAAGUCGCGUGCAGGAAGAAGGAUCUAUGGUUUGUAAACUUCUUUUAUAGGGGAAUAAAGGUAUCCACGUGUGGAUUUUUGCAUUUACCCUAUGAAUAAGCAUCGGUUAACUCCGUGCCAGCAGCCGCGGUAAUAAGGAGGAUGCGAGCAUUAACCGGGUUUAUUGGGUUUAAAGGGUGCGGAGGUUGUUUUUUAAGUCAGCGGUGAAAGUUUGUGGGUCAACCAUCACAUUGCCGUUGAAACUUGAAGACUUGAGUGUGUUUGAGGUAGGCGGAAUGCGUGGUGUAGCGGUGAAAUGCAUAGAUAUCACGCAGAACUCCGAUUGCGAAGGCAGCUUACUAAGCCAUAACUGACACUGAGGCACGAAAGCGUGGGGAUCAAACAGGAUUAGAUACCCUUGUAGUC